rnacentral:rRNA from 1 species
UGGAUGAUGUGGAUUAAUUCGAUGCAACGCGAAAACCUUACCUACCCUUGACAUGUCUGGAACCUUGCUGAGAGGCGAGGGUGCCUUCGGGAGCCAGAACACAGGUGCUGCAUGGCUGUCGUCAGCUCGUGUCGUGAGAUGUUGGGUUAAGUCCCGCAACGAGCGCAACCCUUGUCAUUAGUUGCCAUCAUUUAGUUGGGCACUCUAAUGAGACUGCCGGUGACAAACCGGAGGAAGGUGGGAUGACGUCAAGUCCUCAUGGCCCUUAUGUCUAGGGCUACACACGUACUACAAUGGCCGGUACAAAGGGCAGCCACUCAGCGAUGAGGCGCUAAUCCCAUAAAGCCGGUCUCAGUCCGGAUCGCAGUCUGCAACUCGACUGCGUGAAGUUGGAAUCGCUAGUAAUCGUAGAUCAGCAUGCUACGGUGAAUACGUUCCCGGGCCUU